AAAGUCCCGGCAAACUGUAAGUCUGCUUCUUCAGAUUUGCAAUCUGACGUGGUAACACUCCAGAACU
rnacentral:tRNA from 1 species